CCACCACUCGCCGAGCAGUCGCCGUGCCUGCCACGCCUCCUCUUCCUCCCACUGCCCGCGCGAGCCACUGAGCGAGCGAGCAAUUCGGGAAGCUCCUCGCCUCGCGUCUCCCCGCCGCCGCGCCGCCUCGGACUCGCUUGGUGCAGAUCGGGACCCGACGCCCGCGCCGCCGGGACGGAUCCCGCCUUGCACCAAGUGAAUCGGAGCCGGCACAGCGAUAACUGCAGCUCGCCCGCCCGCCCCGGCCCCCCCGGGCCGCGCCGCCGCCGCCCGCGCUACUUGAUUACCGAGUUGUUGGUUUAGCCCGCUUGUUGCCUGCGUUUCUAGGAUCGGCGAUGGUUGUUGGUUGCUGUGAUUCUCUCUGUCGCCGUGGAGGCCGUGGAGGUUGAUGGCAGGGUGCCUUGCGGAUCUCUGCCCAGGUUCAGCAUCAAUCCGGAUCUGGAUCUGGCGCUUAAUUUCGGUAGUAUCAUCCAAUUGAUUGGAUGAUCCGUUCUAAUAGGCAGGACCCAUCCGUUUAGUAGAUUACUUAUCUUUUUAUCACGGCAAUUUUCUGUCCAUAACGCUUACUGCAAUUUCUCAUGGCACAGGGGAGGCUUGGAUUUCUUGCGUGAGCGGUAAAAUUGGGUCGCCGAGAUGCCAUGUCUAGAUGGUCUCGGCUAGAUUGGGCUGCAUAUAUAGAGAUUAAUUGAUCUAGUUGUUAUCUGAUCCCUUUUACUGCUAGGGAUGCACUGUGAGCCCUGCAAGGUUGAAAUUAUGGCGCAGCAAGCAUUUAAGUGCUCGCGUAUGCUUUAUUGAGCUCAUUCGCUGUAGUCUGCAGAGUGGCCUUUGUGGCACAUGCUAAUUCUGGAAAUUAUGAUACCUGACAAUAUGUUUCUGACUAGCUUUAUUCAUGCCAAAUUCAGUUGAGUUGAUUGAAUGAUUCUCAUAUGUAUUGCCGUUGUUAGUGGUUUACGCCAGAUCCAUGAGGCUUGUAUAGGAGUUAACGUGAGUAAAUGCAUAUAGCCCAAAUAAGCCUAAUCCAGGUCAAAUGGGCUACUAGUUUUGGGUUUGCUCUGCCCGAAUGUUUAGAACCUAACCCACAAGACCAGACUUGGCCAACAUGGUUUAAUUUGGCGGGAUAAAUACGGAGAGUGAAGCUCAAAUGCAAUCAGAAAGAAAAAAAAACAGUUCCUUUUAGUUUGAUAUGAAAAAAAGGAAACUAGUCCCAACUGUAUGAGUAAAGGAAGUGGAGCAAGUAACGGAAGCUUAACGGGUUUUUUUUAUUGUUACUUUGUGGAUAUCUGAUUACAUAGUAAUUAUCUCAUUUACUUGUUUGGCUGGCUUACUUUGCUUGAUUUGCUGUAACCUAUUAUUGGAGUUAGUUACAAAUUACAAUUCUGAGACAGCCAAUUGUUCAACCCAUUGAAAUAGAGACCUAAAGAGUAAAGCCUGGUGCGCCAAACAAGCUGAGCCUGGCAAAGGCUAGUUUGAAAUUAAUUCCAAUUCCUAAACUAGGGUUAUUAUUAGCUAUAUAUGCUUAACAGCUUGAUGACAAACUACUUUCACGGUUUAUAACUUUAUUUAUUGUAUCAGUUAUGAUUGAAAUAUUAGCCCUAUAUGUGUCUAAGUAGUCUGCUAACGUAAUGAAUGCAUAUGGCGGCAUGCCGCAUAAUUGUACCUUGCCCUAUUAUUCUACAUUCAGUUGGAAGGUUACUUUUUUUUUGUAGAUUAUUCAUGGUUUCAUUUGACGUUGCAACUUCAUUCUGGCGGACAUUGCAGAACAUUCCAUUCUUCAAGAAAGUUUCAACUUUACCUGUGAUGACAAUGAACAAUUGAAAGCAGCUACGAUGGGAUAGUUUGAGGUUCAAUCCUUUUGGGGUCAUUUGAUUCUUGAUGGUUAUGCAUAUGUAAUUCUGUAUCAAUUUCUAUAUAUGGGAAAUAUAUGAGUUGAUUUUUCUGGAUGGAUGUUGUGAUCUGCUUUGUUUAAAUGGUACUCCUAUAUCUAAAAUAAUUUCUGAUAAAUGGAUAAGUUUCAGGAUUUGGUUCAACUGUAGUGCCACUGAUUGGUCUAGUUGUGUAGGUAGCUUCCUAGAUGGACCUUUUUCUAUAAACUACAUCGGUACCAACCAACUUUCCUUGUUACAUACGACUUCCUAUGAGGUGAUGUCUAGAGGAUCGUUUUUGGAUGAAACCUAGAGCCUAGAAUCAUGGUGAAAUUGUUGCAUGCAUCAGUACUACUUAGCACCAUGAAAGCUAGGAUUUGCAGUGGAAAAACUGUUUCUGGGGCAAACGGGAAAUAUGGUUUGUUUCUAUUAUUAGCUGGAAACUCCACCCAAUUUCCAGCCUCCUGAACCAGUCAGUUUUGAUAUGUGGAUUUUCCAAAUCUGAUUUCCUCUUUGAUUUAAAGUUAUACUCGUUUCAGUCCGGUUGGCAAUCUGACUCGUUUCAGUUUGUGCCUGUGAACUGCUCCUAAUUGCCAGCCCCAAACUAGUCUGGUUUGGGAUCUGAAAUAUCACAUAUUUUUCUCUACCAAGAUUUAAAGUUUGAUGCAGACAUUAGAAAUAACUUUGAGGUGUUUUGGGGCACUAGGUUAGGGUAUUAGGGGUACCAUUAUUCUCAUGGUUUGGCUGAAAAAGCAGGGCUGACCAGUCAGUUACUACAUUCUUUUAACCUGGCAGCAUCAUGCUUAGGAUUUAAGCUAAGACUCGUAUAAUUGUGAUUCCAGUUGUCGGAUCCAUAUCAUUACGGAAAUAAUGAUGUGCUAUUUCUACUGAAACAGAUCCAUGUAGUGGGAGCUUGUUAGAGCUCUUUUUUUUCAUCAGAGGACAAAUAUUUUUAACUGCUAUAGGUGUUCAAACAUCUUUUUUUUUUUAAGAAAUGCAUCGAAACAUCUUGUCCAUGAACUUAGCAAACUCAACUUUCAUCAUGAUUUUGAGCAUACUACUAUAUAUAGUUGUUGAUGUUGUAGUGCCCAAGUGGGCAUUGGGUUCUUUUUUUUUUACCUUUGAAAAGAGGGAGUCAGUGAUUAGGUGUCCAGGAAUAUAUGCUCGGCGAUCAAGAUUCUUUUUCCGUCAGGAAGAGGGGGGAAGAGACAAAGUAGCCGAUUGGCACUAGGUGGCCGACUGGUCGUCCAUGGCUGGCAUUUGAACUUGUUCCAGGAAAAGGGGAUUCCCUCCAUCUUUGAGCUGGAGCUGAUGAGCGAGGUGGAGUAAUUUUUAGUGGUUGGAAUAUUUCCGCUAAAGCCACGACAGCCGCCCAGGAGAACAUGUUCUGAAAAGCUGUCGAGGAAUAUUAAUAUCCGAGCCUGAUACCGCCUGGAUUGACUUGAAUGAAUGAGCAGAAGCAGAGCAUGGUGGAAUUCCAGCUCCGGGUAGAUUGUACAUUGGUACCGUGGUCCAGAUUGGUGGCGGUAAAAAAUUUCACUGUUUUACAGUCUUCAUAUGUUCUCAGACGCAGACCAUGAUGGUCAAUAUUUUGUUUCAUCCUGUCGUAAUUUAGUUAUGAUAAGCAUGGUGGCUGUAGAAACCUUGCUCCAUCCUGCUGUAAUUUUCAGUUCAUGAUGAACACAUUGCUAAUGGAUUUACUUUCUCCAGUAGGAGCUAGAUCAACAUAAAGUUGUUAUUUUUCAUGUGGCGCUGGGACAUGCAUGGCACAACUUGAGCAAAUGGUUCUCUGUUCCUCGUAGUUUUAGAAUCAAUGGUUGGGUCAGUGGAAUUCUGGAAUCGUUUUGAUAAGCUGUGGUUACAGCUGAACCAUGAUCCUGCUGGGCACUGUACAAAGCCGCAGCUCAGCCAGGGGGAAGGGAAGGAAUACAUGACAAACUUGACAAGGACGCGGUACUUGAUGGGAAAUCUGUACGCAGCUGCGACUGCGAUCAAACAUGGUGGGCUCUGCUGCUCAGUUGAUCGAGCUGGUGUCCUUUGGCCUCCAGCGCGUGAAAAGCCUAGGCUGCUGCUCGUGCUCAUCAGGCCUGGUCCCCUGCCUCCCAUGCAAAAGCUUUCAACUCAGCCGCUCCCCUUUCAUUCGGAUCUGUGAACUCCAUGGGAAAUUAUCUUCCGGAGAUGUUGCUGUUCCCCUCAAGAUUACUGUGCCCCCUUCUGUUUCAUCCUGUGCAGGUGUUGCCCCUGUCAUAGCCUGUGCAGUUGUCUAGAUAGUCUCAGUGAAAUGGAAUGAAAAAAAAACUCGUUGGUUUGUAUACAAAUGGUUUACUUUGCCGGCUUCAAAA